UACCCGCGUAGUCCCAGCCGUAAACUAUGCGCGUUAGGUGUACUGGUGACCACGAGUCGACCGGGGUGCCGAAGGGAAACCGUGAAACGUGCCGCCUGGGAAGUACGGUCGCAAGGCUAGAAACUUAAAGGAAUUGGCGGGGGAGCACCACAACGGGUGGAGCCUGCGGUUUAAUUGGACUCAACGCCGGAAAUCUCACCGGAUAGGACAGACAUAUGAUAGUCGGGCUGAAGACUCUACUUGAUGAUCUG
rnacentral:rRNA from 1 species